GAAUGAAACAAACGGAAUAACUAAGAUCCAUCUUUUGAUCACCAGAAGGAAAAAGGAAAGCUGAUGUCCAGACUUAUUCUCUGGAGACAGGAGCCACUGCAGUCACACGGAAGAACUGAGACCAUCGCUCCACCCCAAAACAGCAUUGCCAUUCUCAGAAACUGGAGCCAGACUGGCACAGAAAGGAGCUGCAGCACACUCUCCGCCUAUGACUGCAGGUGUCCGGCAUGACUGAGAAGCAUGUUUCUGUAGUUCUGCUGGUAAUUGAUUCUGCUAUAGGAAAACCAAACUGUGCUGGUGGAGCGGCGGCUCUGGUCCGGGUCCUGGUGUGUGGCCUUUCGCUGGUCUUCUGGGUCUUCAAGCGGGCCAGCACCUCGCAUUGGGGCACACAGUUGGGUUUCGGCCGGAGGGCCUCCAUAUAUUGGUUGGGCAUGCGUGGCAUGCUGUGGGGUCAGCUGCUCCCCGCGGUUAAGAACCACUUAGUUAGUUUUCCUGCCCCUCAAGUGGUGGUGUUACAUUUGGGUGAGAAUGAUUUGGGCCGGCGAACUGGCAUCUCAAUUAUUCGGCAAGCCACAUCUGAUUUCAAGACUCUGCGGGAAUGGAUCCCGGGGGUAUGCAUUAUUUGGGUUAAUUGGCUCCAGCGUAGAGUCUGGAGGGGGGUGUCCUCAGGCCUGGCAGUGGAGAAGGCCCGUCAUAAGGCUUCGGCGGCUAUAGGCCAGAUGAUUUGGGCAUCUGGAGGGAGGGUUGUGCUACAUCCGGGGAUAGCUGCACGCCUCCCUGAGUUGUACCGACCUGACGGAGUGCAUCUGUCCGAGUCUGGGUGCGAUUUGUACCUGAGUAAUAUUCAGAGGGGGCUUGCUGAGUUUUUGGAGGUUAAUGGGGCAGGGAGGUCAAGCUUGGGCUAACCUCCCUGGGUGGUAGUAGCAGUGCGGGCUAAGGGUAUUGGGUUAGAUUUCGGUGAGCACUCGGUGAGAUUUUUCUCGGUGAAAAAACUUCUGAGGUGUGAAUUCUCAUUGUAUCAUAGCAAAUGAGAUUUUUUUCAAUUAGACAACUCUCAUGACCCCACUUUCACUUUUUCACACUCUCUAUUACUAUGAAUAAUAUGAGGAAGUAAUCAAUUUAGCACACUUCACCUUAUGAAGACAAACCUCAUAAAAAUAAAUUCACCAAAAUUCACCCCUCUGCCCAAUCACUCUUAAAUUGGGGAUGGGUGGUAGCCUCCACCCAUCAGGCACUAUCUACCAGCCCACCCCACUCCUUUGGGGCAGAUCCACUUUCUGUCCCCAAUCUGCCCCAAAGACACCCAAACUUCAAAUAUUCCCAAAAAAUCAGCCCUCUGCC